rnacentral:misc_RNA from 1 species
GCGCGACUCUCCCUCUCAGGGGUAGGCCGUACCACCACAGGUCUCGCUUGCGCUUUUUGCGGUUGUUUCGUGCGGUCCCGUGCACGCGUGGUGUUUCCACUGACUCUCAGCACCCCGCAGCAAGAAAAAGGCAGGUACACCAGGAACAGGUCCAUCUGUAAGCCUUGUACGCAGAAGAAGAGAUACCAAGGAUGCCGGCCCCACGCCCAGAGCUGGAGAACCCGCCGGAGGUGUUCUACAACGCCUCCGAGGCACGGAGGUACACUGUGAGCACACGUGUGCGCAAGAUUCAGCGGGACAUGACUCUGCGCGCUCUGGAGCUGCUCAACCUGCCAAAAGACGACGCGGCGGCAGCCACUGGCGUGAAUUGCUCGGCCCUGCUGCUCGACAUAGGCAGCGGUAGCGGCUUGAGCGGGGACGUCCUCACGGAACAAGGUCACGUGUGGAUGGGCGUCGAUAUCAGUCGUGACAUGCUGCGCAUUGCCAAGGAGGAUGAGCUGCAUUACUACGACGUGGGCGCGGCACAAAAGUCGGCAGAGGCGGAGGAGGCGUACCAGACAAGCAGUAGCAAUGCCCGCUUCGAUACCAGCCAUGUGAAGUGGGGCCUCAUCACUUCUGAGGAUGACCAAGAGGAGGUAAGCGAGUCGGAAGGGGGAAAAGGCGUCGACGGAGAUGAUGAUGACGUCGCGAGCGGUGACUUGGCUAGCAGUGCAGCCGCAGGUAACGGCGCGGGUGGCGCGGCGUCAGGACCGCGCAUGGUGGAGGUGCUUCAGAACGACAUUGGCGUCGGGCUGCCGUUUCGUCCUGGUACGUUCGACGGCUGCAUCUCUAUCUCGGUGCUGCAGUGGCUGUGCCACAGCACCAAGAAGGGCGAGGUGCCACAACGGAGGCUGAUGGCGCUCUUUCAGUCUCUCUACAACGCGCUGCGUCGCGGCGCAAAGGCUAUCUUUCAGUUUUACCCGAGCAACCCCGAGCAGGUGCACAUCAUUACGCGAGCUGCCAUGAAGUGCGGCUUCGACGGCGGCGUCGUCGUCGAUUUCCCGCACUCGGCGCGCGCCAAGAAGUACUACCUGGUGCUGCAGGCGGGCCAGGUGCAGGGCGGAUUUGUGCCGCCGGCGGCCCUGACAGGCGAGGUGGAGGGCGACGGCGACGACGACGGCAGCGACGGCGACUCCGAAUACGAUGGCGAGGAGUACUACGGCAGCGGAGAGGACGGCGACGACGACGACGACGACGACGGACUCCACAACCCGAACAGCCGCAAGCGUGUCCGCGUAGGAGGGCGGGACGCGCAUCACGGCAAGCGCGCUCGAGCCUCCUCUGCGCACGGACAGAAGCGCCGUCGCAAGGACAACCGCCCCGUCACCGGCACGCGCGAGUGGGUGCUGCUCAAGAAAGAGGAGAGGCGCCGGCGGGGCUAUCAGACCACCGCAGACUCCAAGUACACGAUGCGACGUCGCAAGCCGCGGUUUUGAGCCGAGGAGAGGGAUGGGGAAGGGCCGUCCUUGUCAGCGGGGGUGCGCUGCCCCGAAGAGUCGCGCGAAAGAGGGCGUUUUUGUUUUGUGGUCGACUUUAUAUAACGCCUAUUUUGUUUUCCGUUGUUUAAAACGAUUAACUGGCUCUGCGUUUCUUGUUCGCGCUGCACGCUAACAACCUGUGUGUGUGUGUUUGUGUCUGGAACACGGCCCGAGACACCUCUUCUCCCUAAUCCGCAAGUGCUCGAGUCUGAGGCAGGGUGGGCUGGCGCGGAAACAUCACCCGUGCUAUCUAAGCGGCCUCCACCGCCGCGCAAACC